rnacentral:lncRNA from 1 species
GAGAUUUAAUUUUUUUUAAAUUGUGACCUGCAAUAGCAGAUUAUUUUGAGAAAGGUACCGGUUAUCAGGUACCCCAAUGAGAGAUAUUUUUGUCUUUUAAUACGCGAGUAGUUAAGUAAUUCAUUCUACAAUAUUAUCAAAAUCUUUCUACUCUCUUUGUUUCCUUUUUUUCUCUCUAUCUUUCCUCUCCAGCUACAUAUAUUUCGUCAAUUCAUAUAAGAAAAGUUUAAAAUUA